rnacentral:rRNA from 1 species
GACGAACGCUGGCGGCGUGGAUUAGGCAUGCAAGUCGAACGGUAUCAUCCUUUCGGGGGUGAGAGAGUGGCGAACUGGUGAGUAACACGUAGGUUAUCUACCCUCAAGACGGGGACAACCCAGGGAAACUUGGGCUAAUACCGGAUGUGAGCAACUUUUAGUUGUUUGAAAGGUGGCGUAAGCUGUCGCUUGGGGAUGAGCCUGCGUCCUAUUAGUUAGUUGGUGAGGUAACGGCUCACCUAGGCAAUGAUAGGUAGGCGGCCUUAACGGGUGGUCGCCCACACUGGGAUUGAGAUACGGCCCAGACUCCUACGGGAGGCAGCAGUCGAGAAUAGUCUACAAUGGUCGGAAGACUGAUAGUGCGACGCCGCGUGAACGAUGAAUCCCUUCGGGGUGUAAAGUUCUUUUAUAUGUGAGCAGUGCUUCUUAUAUUAACAGUAUGGGGAGAGAGAUAUUAGCAUAUGAAUAAGCAACGGCUAACUCCGUGCCAAGCACGCCGGACGUAA